rnacentral:rRNA from 1 species
UACGAAGGGGGCUAGCGUUGUUCGGAUUUACUGGGCGUAAAGCGCACGUAGGCGGAUCUUUAAGUCAGAGGUGAAAUCCCAAGGCUCAACCUUGGAACUGCCUUUGAUACUGGAGAUCUUGAGUCCGGGAGAGGUGAGUGGAACUGCGAGUGUAGAGGUGAAAUUCGUAGAUAUUCGCAAGAACACCAGUGGCGAAGGCGGCUCUUUGGUCUGUAACUGACGCUGAGGCGCGAAAGCGUGGGGAGCGAACAGG